UACAGAGGUCUCAAGCGUUGUUCGGAUUCAUUGGGCGUAAAGGGCGUGUAGGCGGCGGGGCAAGUCGGGUGUGAAAUCUCAGGGCUCAACCCUGAAACUGCACUCGAUACUGCUCUGCUUGAGGACUGGAGAGGAGACUGGAAUUCACGGUGUAGCAGUGAAAUGCGUAGAUAUCGUGAGGAAGACCAGUGGCGAAGGCGGGUCUCUGGACAGUUCCUGACGCUGAGGCGCGAAGGCCAGGGGAGCAAACGGG
rnacentral:rRNA from 1 species